rnacentral:rRNA from 1 species
UACGAAGGGGGCUAGCGUUGCUCGGAAUUACUGGGCGUAAAGGGCGCGUAGGCGGACAGUUAAGUCAGAGGUGAAAGCCCAGGGCUCAACCCUGGAAUUGCCUUUGAUACUGGCUGUCUUGAGUUCGGGAGAGGUGAGUGGAAUGCCGAGUGUAGAGGUGAAAUUCGUAGAUAUUCGGCGGAACACCAGUGGCGAAGGCGACUCACUGGCCCGACACUGACGCUGAGGCGCGAAAGCGUGGGGAGCAAACAGG